GGAGAUGGAAAAGUAUGCAUUGAUGUUAACCCUAUACCUAACGGAGGCGACGUGGAUGCGACUCCCUUGGAAAAACGGGGAGAAGCAUUCAAUUUGAAGAAGCCGAAACUAAAAACGUGUCUUUUUAGGUGGUUGGUUAGUCAAAUGGUACGGUCCACUUCUGGGCUCAUUGAAUAGUCAAUGGCGUUAGCCAAUGAAGCGGUCACCGUCGCUUAUCCAAAUGUCUUUCUCAAUCCAUUCCAUCCCAUUAUGUUUUUAAUGAAGGACUUUUACUGUUUGGGCCUUCGCCCUCCGGGGAUGUGUACUGGGCAUCGCACCAUUUCGCUAUCUUGAUGUAGGUUGAGGGGUGCAGGAGGCCUUCCUCAACCAAAACCGCAUCGAGCUUUGGCUGCCGCCGUUUCCCGCUUCACGAAGCAGCCCGAUCACUAGCUCGCCUCCACUCGUGCUCUGAACUCCCCCAUCAAGGAAAUUGGGGACUUUGAGUACUGGAUAAAGAUAAUGGAUUUUGAUUGCAAGAGCAUCAAUGUAGCCAUUCGCAACAUUCAUCAAGCUUGAUUUUCAGCACUCGGAUAUAGGAUGCAUCCCCAUUCUCUUUAUUUGUCUUCCUCUAGACUGAGUCGAAGCUACAGGAUCAUGCAUGGCUUAUAUGUUAGAAUAAUUAAAUAUUAACGUCUUCAUAUAACAGCUAAAACUUUUAGAGCGAUUGAUAGUGAUCCCGCAAAAUUUCACAUGGUAUCAGAGCAUGAGAUGUUGAAUUUAAAUUUUUUCAGACCCCA